rnacentral:lncRNA from 1 species
CUAAACUUUAAUUCCAUAGAAUAUAUAAUUGCACUAAAAUUAGGGUCAUUUUUGUAUUUGUGAAAUGUCCUUAUCUCCUAGCAAGAAAUUUGUUGGAUCUUGAUUGGUAUAUAAAGUCAAAUUUAAAUCUGAUGGGACAGUGGAACGUUAUAAAGCUUGACUAUUAGCUAAAGGCUACACUUAGAUUGAAGAUUUGAAUUUUUUACACUUGUUUACUUAUUGCCAAGCUAGUUACUAUGAGAACAUUACUAGAUGUUUCUGUAGCUCGAAAUUGGCAUGCACAUAAACUCGAUGUUGACGAUACUUUCUCAUGGUAAAUUGGAUGAGGAACUUUUUAUGAUUCUACCACCUGGUUACUCUUCUUCUAUUCUCAAUUCAGUUUGUAGACUCAGAAAGUCCAUUUAUGGCCUACGACAGACCUCUAGAUAAUGGAAUGUCAAAUUUACUUAAUCUAUACUUCACUAUGGUUUUGCUUAGUCCCAACAUAAUCAUACUCUAUUUACUUUGCAGAAUUCUCCUACAUUCAUGGUGUUGCUAGUUUAUGUUGAUAACAUAGUUGUUGCAAAUUCUGACCUAGUUUGCAUUGAUACUCUCAAAGCCUAUCUGCAUUCAACUUUUAAUAUCAAAGAUCUUGGCACUAUUAGAUAUUUUUUAGGUCUGAAAAUUGCUCGCUAUUCUGCUAGUUUUUCCAUUUCACAACACAAGUAUGCACUUGAUGUGAUACAAGAUUCAGGCCUUACUGGAGCCCCUCCUUCCAAAUUUCCUAUGGAACAUAAUUUGAAAUUGUCUUAUGGAAAGGAGUAGUUAUUAGCCAAUCCAGCAGAGUAUCGAAGACUAAUAGGUACGUUAAUAUCCCUAAUUAUCAUGAGACCUGAUUUGACUUUUGCUAUUCAGACACUUAGCCAAUUUAUUCAAGAACCAAGACAGCCUCAGUGCCUCACUUGGAUGCAGUUCAUAGACAUUGAGAUAUAUUAAAUAUACACUAGCUCAAGGAAUUUUGUUACUAAGCACAUCUGAU